rnacentral:miRNA from 1 species
AGUGUAUUUUGUUCUUGAGGAGUGAAAUGUUGGAAUAACACUCGCUCCUCAAGAACAAAAUACACG